UACGGAGGGUGCAAGCGUUAUCCGGAUUCACUGGGUUUAAAGGGUGCGUAGGUGGGCUGGUAAGUCAGUGGUGAAAUCUCCAGGCUUAACUUGGAAACUGCCAUUGAUACUAUCAGUCUUGAAUACCGUGGAGGUCAGCGGAAUAUGUCAUGUAGCGGUGAAAUGCUUAGAUAUGACAUAGAACACCAAUUGCGAAGGCAGCUGGCUACACGAAUAUUGACACUGAUGGACGAAAGCGUGGGGAUCAAACAGG
rnacentral:rRNA from 1 species